AGACAAAGGCAGAGAACAAAUUGGCAGCGGGAAGGGGGACCCCGGUGCUGCCCCUCAGUCCAGCAGGUCUGUCCCUGAAUUUCCAGCUCCCUCCGUCCAUGCCACAUACAAAAGAAAAGAGAUGAAGAAAUAAGAGAAAUGUUCUCCAAGGUUGAAGAGAGGCACUAUUCAGUUUCCUGGUUAACAGACUCUCCGGAGUGUGACUCAUAAGCCCUUGCAGCUCAGACAGCGUUGCAGAAUGAGCUACCAGCAACCUCUUUGUCCUUCACAUGAUGUUACUGAAUCAGCUCAAGAUAACUCAUACCUUGGAGCAACCUCACAUUGCAAGAAGGAGCGUUAUUUCUCAACAUAGAACACACAGAAGACAGAAUUAACUCCAUGAUAUAGCUGCAUUACCACCCUGCUAUUCACUUCCUGACUUCAGCUCAAGUGCCUACAGGCCCUGUCCUGCUAAGCUCUGUACAAGGCCUGACAUUUGACACCCAAGACCCCAGGACUUACACAGAGGCACAAGCGGAGGCCCUGGGGAAGAGGUCAUUGCUGAAAAAGAUGACUCCCUAAAAUCAUGAUGAAAAGUUACUCUAACUGCUGUGCUUUGUUGGAAGACUUCUUGAGGGUAUCACCAUGACUAUGGCUGCUGCUGCUGCUUGUUUGUGUUGUAGACUUACCCUUACUGCAAGAAUAUUUGGGAAAAGGCAGAGAAAAAUUGUAUGAAGUUACCUAUGAACAAGUUGACCUGUGGACCCUGCCAAAAAAAAUUUUCCAUGUGAACUUGAGUUUGCAAGGCCCUUUUUUGAGUCCCGAAAACUCUGCGUUCUGAAAAAGGACAUCUGUGAUAAGAUGGAACUUGGCACCAGUAACUCAUGUACUAUGGGUGAAGCAUGCUCAGAAGAGGCAGACCCAGAGGUAGUCCUGAAUCUUGUAAAUGGCUCUGGGUGAAUCUGAAGAACUGCAUGUGAUUUGUCAGAUCAAUCCAUUAAAAUACCACUGCAGAAUGAAUACAUAAUUGUCUGAAGUGCAGGGGCACAAAAGCAGUUCACCACGAAUGCUGGCAGUUGCAAAUCAGUUGCAUUUGUUUCUUCCUUUAACUAGCAUCCACUGCAACCUGAUAGUGCAGCAAACUGCAUGAAGAUGGUACAGACAGAUGCCAAAAAAGAGGGCCCCCAUCAGCCCCGUGUGCCCCGCUGUGAACCACCAACACGCCAGGGUGCUGCUGAAAAACAAAUGGAAGCUGGCAGCAGCUGAAGGCCUGUGGUGGUUGACCAAUCUGCUCUGAGCUGUUCCAGGAGCCUCCAGAGGACAAGAGGAAUGUGACAGUGCUCCUUCUGUUCUGGCUGUGAGAAACUGAAAGCACCGAAGUCAGUUUGCUUGGUGAGCAGCGGAGUCACCUCCUGGUCCUGAUAGGUGAGCUGGAUGAGACCAGGGUACAGACUAGAGAUCUUCAAUGCAGCCUGAGCAUCUCAUGUAAUGUCAAGACUUUAAGAGCAGAGGAAGGCACAUCAGAGUAUCAUGACAGAAAAAAAUGGAUGAGAAGAACCUUAAAACUGUGCCUGUAGAUCUGAUCAAUGGAUCUCUGUGAAGUCCUUGGAUUGACUCUGCUCUUGGUCUGCAGGAACUUAUUACAGGCAUGGAACUUAGAUUGGUCUCCCCCCUGCUUGAGGAGGCUAGAAUGCUUUAUUUAUUUGAUGUCGUAUUUGGUUAUAUAUGGAAAUAUUUCACUAUUUAUUUUUAUAGUUUUGCAACAAUAUGUUAUGGAGAAAGCAUUUCCCAUUUUCCAACAAACUCUCAGGCAGGGUUUAGUUAUCUGUUUAUUAUUAGUGAAUGUGUCCCAGAGUUUUGCUGAUAUGUUUGUUAUCAGUGCAUCAAAGCUUGAGUGAUAAAAUAAACUAAUGUGGUCACCA